GCUGGUGCACCAGUGUAUCUGG
rnacentral:misc_RNA from 1 species